rnacentral:rRNA from 1 species
UACGUAGGUGGCAAGCGUUGUCCGGAUUUACUGGGCGUAAAGAGCGCGCAGGCGGUCGUUCAAGUCGCGUGUGAAAGCCCCCGGCUCAACUGGGGAGGGUCACGCGAUACUGAUCGACUCGAAGGCAGGAGAGGGUAGUGGAAUUCCCGGUGUAGUGGUGAAAUGCGUAGAUAUCUGGAGGAACACCGGUGGCGAAGGCGGCAUCCUGGACCGACACUGACGCUGAGGCGCGAAAGCUAGGGUAGCAAACGGG